GGACUACAGGGGUAUCUAAUCCUGUUUGCUCCCCACGCUUUCGCGUCUCAGCGUCAGUAUCCAUCCAGACGGCCGCCUUCGCCACUGGUGUUCUUCCCGAUAUCUACGAAUUUCACCUCUACACCGGGAGUUCCGCCGUCCUCUCUGGUACUCAAGCAAAGUAGUUUCGGGCGCACUUCCUCGGUUAAGCCGAGGGCUUUCACACCCGACAUGCCUUGCCGCCUACACGCGCUUUACGCCCAAUAAUUCCGAACAACGCUUGCACCCUCUGUAUUACCGCGGCGGCUGGCAC
rnacentral:rRNA from 1 species